rnacentral:rRNA from 1 species
CCCUUAGACGUUCUGGGCCGCACGCGCGCUACACUGGCCGGUGCAACAAGCAUCCGUCCUUGGCCGACAGGCCCGGGCAAUCUUUGAACGCCGGUCGUGAUGGGGAUAGACUUUUGCAAUUUUUGGUCUUCAACGAGGAAUUCCUAGUAAACGCAAGUCAUCAACUUGCAUUGAUUACGUCCCUGCCCUUUGUACACACCGCCCGUCGCUCCUACCGAUCGAAGAGUUAGGUGAAUUGUUUUGAUCGAUAAGAUUUGACUAUGGUCAACUCUCGUUGUGAAAUUCUGUGAAUCUGACUGUUUAGAGGAAGGAAAAGUCGUAACA